rnacentral:rRNA from 1 species
UACGUAGGGGGCAAGCGUUGUCCGGAUUUAUUGGGCGUAAAGAGCGUGUAGGCGGCUUUACAGGUCCGUUGUGAAAACUCGAGGCUCAACCUCGAGACGCCGGUGGAAACCGUAAAGCUAGAGUCCGGAAGAGGAGAGUGGAAUUCCAUGUGUAGCGGUGAAAUGCGUAGAGAUAUGGAGGAACACCAGUGGCGAAGGCGACUUUCUGGUCUGUAACUGACACUGAGGCGCGAAAGCGUGGGGAGCAAACAGG